CGAGGAGGGGUUUAGUGGGUAGGCGUCGAUCUUUACGCAUUCAUUCAAGUGAUAGAGAUCGAUGAAUCCCACACACUUUGCCAUUAGGUGUGCUGUGCCAGUGAAACGGUGGGGGGGAGCUGGUCAGCGAAAGUGUCUUACGAAGAUUCCCCUCCUCG
rfam:Anopheles funestus strain FTMOZ unplaced genomic scaffold supercont1.226, whole genome shotgun sequence.